AUACGGAGGAUGCGAGCGUUAUCCGGAUUUAUUGGGUUUAAAGGGUGCGCAGGCGGCCAUUUAAGUCAGCGGUUAAAUCGUGGGGCUCCACCCCAUUCUGCCGUUGAUACUGGGUGGCUUGAUUGCGGUCGAGGUUGGCGGAAUUCGUUGUGUAGCGGUGAAAUGCAUAGAUAUGACGAAGAACACCGAUUGCGUAGGCAGCUGACCAGACCGCAAAUGACGCUCAUGCACGAAAGUGCGGGGAUCGAACAGGAUUAGAUACUCUGGUAGUCCGCACAGUAAACGAUGAAUACUUGUUUUCGGCGAUAUAAUGUCGGAGGCAAAGCGAAAGCGAUAAGUAUUCCACCUGGGGAGUACGCCGGCAACGGUGAAACUCAAAGGAAUUGACGGGG
rnacentral:rRNA from 1 species